AAGACUUUAGUUUAAUUAAAGCAUUUGAGUUGCAUUCAGAGGAUAUGAGAUAGAGUCUCGUAAGUCUUA
rnacentral:tRNA from 2 species